rnacentral:rRNA from 1 species
GGGGUAGGGGCUUUCGGGCCUUGAGACCGGCGCACGGGUGCGUAACGCGUAUGCAAUCUGCCUUUCACAGAGGGAUAGCCCAGAGAAAUUUGGAUUAAUACCUCAUAGCAUUAUGGAAGGGCAUCCUUUUAUAAUUAAAGUCACAACGGUGAAAGAUGAGCAUGCGUCCCAUUAGCUAGUUGGCAAGGUAACGGCUUACCAAGGCUACGAUGGGUAGGGGUCCUGAGAGGGAGAUCCCCCACACUGGUACUGAGACACGGACCAGACUCCUACGGGAGGCAGCAGUGAGGAAUAUUGGACAAUGGGCGCAAGCCUGAUCCAGCCAUGCCGCGUGCAGGAUGACGGUCCUAUGGAUUGUAAACUGCUUUUGUACGAGAAGAAACACUCCUACGUGUAGGGGCUUGACGGUAUCGUAAGAAUAAGGAUCGGCUAACUCCGUGCCAGCAGCCGCGGUAAUACGGAGGAUCCAAGCGUUAUCCGGAAUCAUUGGGUUUAAAGGGUCCGUANGCGGUCUAGUAAGUCAGUGGUGAAAGCCCAUCGCUCAACGGUGGAACGGCCAUUGAUACUGCUGGACUUGAAUUAUU